GCAAGUCGAGGGGUAACAGAUGAAGAGCUUGCUACAGAUGACGACCGGCGCACGGGUGAGUAACGCGUAUAGAACCUACCUUUUACAGGGGAAUAGCCCAGAGAAAUUUGGAUUAAUGCCCCAUAGUAUUAUUGAAUGGCAUCAUUUAGUAAUUAAACAUUUAUGGGUAAAAGAUGGCUAUGCGUUCUAUUAGCUAGAUGGUAAGGUAACGGCUUACCAUGGCUACGAUAGAUAGGGGUCCUGAGAGGGAGAUC
rnacentral:rRNA from 1 species